rnacentral:rRNA from 1 species
AUACGUAGGUGACAAGCGUUAUCCGGAUUUACUGGGUGUAAAGGGAGCGUAGGCGGGAGUGCAAGUCAGAUGUGAAAUACAUGGGCUCAACCCAUGGGAUGCAUUUGAAACUGCAUUUCUUGAGUGAAGUAGAGGGAAGCGGAAUUCCUGGUGUAGCGGUGAAAUGCGUAGAUAUCAGGAGGAACACCGGUGGCGAAGGCGGCUUACUGGGCUUUUACUGACGCUGAGGCUCGAAAGCGUGGGGAGCAAACAGGAUUAGAUACCCUGGUAGUCCACGCUGUAAACGAUGAUUACUAGGUGUGGGGGGACUGACCCCUUCCGUGCCGCAGUUAACACAAUAAGCAUUCCGCCUGGGGAGUACGGCCGCAAGGUUGAAACUCAAAUGAAUUGACGGGG